rnacentral:rRNA from 1 species
UACAGAGGUCUCAAGCGUUGUUCGGAUUCAUUGGGCGUAAAGGGUGUGUAGGUGGCGCGCUAAGUCGGGUGUGAAAUUUCGGAGCUUAACUCCGAAACUGCAUUCGAUACUGGCGUGCUUGAGGACUGGAGAGGAGACUGGAAUUCAUGGUGUAGCAGUGAAAUGCGUAGAGAUCAUGAGGAAGACCAGUGGCGAAGGCGGGUCUUUGGACAGUUCCUGACACUGAGACACGAAGGCCAGGGGAGCAAACGGG